rnacentral:hammerhead_ribozyme from 1 species
GCUUUGCUGACGAGUUCCAAACAAGACGAAACAGCUGUCUAAUAU